GAAAUGCGAUAAGUAGUGUGAAUUGCAGAAUUCAGUGAAUCAUCGAAUCUUUGAACACACAUUGCGCCCUUUGGUAUUCCUUAGGGCAUGCCUGUUCGAGCGUCAUUUAAACCUUCAAGCUCAGCUUGGUGAUGGGUGACUGUCCCCUCCUCGCGGGGGGACUCGCCUCAAAAACAUUGGCGGCCGGUACAUUGGCUUCGAGCGCAGCAGAAACGCGGUCUCGAGCCCGGUGGAUCGGCUCCCACAAGCCUAUUCUUUUAUUUUGACCUCGGAUCAGGUAGGGAUACCCGCUGAACUUAAGC
rnacentral:misc_RNA from 1 species